AGGAAUGAGUGAGCGCUAAGCUAGUUAGCAGUACGGUAUUUUCCAAAGUUGACUUUUUAAUGCAACGAAUGUUACAUUUUUACUAUUUUUCUACCAAAAGUAGCAGAUUCUAAGUGCUGUAAAAAAAGAAACAUUUUUUAGACUCUGGUAUCGUAUUGGUCCCCAGGCUAGGCUUUCAAUUCCUGAGUCCAACCAGAAAACAGAGCCUUUUGUAUUCUAGCGUCUCUGUUACUUCAACAUCCUGAAGGAAGAGAUCAAACAAACAAUUAGAUUCUUAGUUGAAAUGAAUGCUUUAUAAGGUUGUAUUAUUGUGUUUUAUACUGUUAUUGCUCCUGAAGGUCUGAAGAAAUUCUCGUGAAUUGUUUUGAAACUUCAAAAGUGCAAUAAAGGCACUAUAAAAAACUGUCCUGGAAACAAAUUACAGGCCUUUGUUUUAACACAGACUCUGGAAAGAACAUUGUAUUUUUUUGCUUUUGUUCACAGAAAAUCACCAAAUACAUUAUUUGGCUCAGAGAGACGUGUUUCUCUGCACUUUGUUUUUGGAGUCCAGCAACUUUUACUGGCAUUGUGUCUAUUAGACUUCAUAUGGCCUUUAGUUACCUCAUUGCCAAAAUACAGCUUACUUAGACCUGGCAUAAGGAAGUGAUAUGCUAUAUAUAUAUAUAUAUAUAUAUAUAUGCUGUAUAUACACAUAUAUACACAUAUAUAUAGUUAUAUAUAUGUAUACAGUGGUCUUUGUUAGGUUCACACGAUAAAUCAAACUAUUUAUUUUGUCACUUUGUGUCCAAAGCUCAGUGGAUCUGUGCUUGACUACUUCGCCUUACGCUGCGUUGUCGAGCGCAGAUGCACUUAGCUGUGCCUCUCACAUUUUAUUCACACCAAGCUAGCUAGCUAGAUACAACUUUAUUAAUCCCUCAGGAGUUCCUUUCGGGAAAUUAAGGAAAAGUGCGUUCCCAUACUGGGAGUAGAACCCAGGCCGCCUGGGUGAAAACCAGGAAUCUGAAUCGCUAGAACAUAUGGGACUAAUGAUGUGCCAUGAGAAACUAGCUCGUUACAAAAUAAGUUAGGAUUAAUAAAUAUUCAGAAACGACGCAUUUGGAAAAUAACAGUUGCAUAGGUUUUAUUAUUAUUAUUACAGGGUGCUUUUUUUGUUUUAUACGUUCUAACCAACUAAGUCUGCACAGCAGAAAACUGUGAAAACGUAAAUAUAUACAUGUAUAAAUAUACAGUGUAUAUGUAUGUAAAUAUGUGUCUUUAUAUAUACAGAUCCACAUGUAUUUAGUUUUCUAAUGCCGGCAGGCACAGAUCUGUGAAUCUGUUCACCAGUGGAAGGUUAUGCAUAAAAAAAAAGUUAUGUAACACGUGUUUGAACUAAACUGAGACACACACACACACCUUUGUGGUGAGGACACCUCCCUGAUGCUGGUGUGUGUGUGUGUGUGUAAAACUCUGCCACAGUUGUGUGUAGAGUAAGUAGGUGUAGUGUGUGUGUGUCAUAGGGUGUUAAUAAAGAGACAAACAGGGACGUUUCACAGACGGAAUCAAGUUAAAUCCCAUGUUUGAGUCACGUUCCAUUUUUGGCUUAGUUUAAAUGUGUAAUUAGCUUCAUCAUAACCACAGCUUCACUCUGUGAUUGGGUGUCUGUCUGUCUGUCUGGAUGUUUGUGUUUGUGUUUGUGUGCGUUGGUGUGUGGGCGGGGUGUGUCUCCAGUCCAAAUGCCUCUGAACUGUGUGCCAGAGCUGCAGCGCUGUAGGACGUCUCACAUUCAGGCCUUUUAAUUGAUUUGGAGUGUGAUUUAUGCAGCGAUCUGCAGACACGUGUGUCUGCAUGCCCUUCACUGGGCAACACACACACACACACACACACACACACACACACACUCUAAACCCAAGCUGUGAGUCACUCAUCACUGCUGCACAGGACACUGUUAUGUUGACCGUCUUGAUGGACACCAUUAGCCACACACUCACUGCCAUUUCCCGGCAACAUAUGUUCUUUUGUGUGUGUGGUGUGUACGUACGUGUGUGUGUGUGUGUGUCAUGUGAGUGUGUGUGGGUGGUCGUAUCAAAUUCCACGUAACACUGCCGGCUGCUAAAAAUGAGUAUGUGACACUGAAAGUGUGAGUGUGUUGGAGAAACUGUGUGUGUGUGUGUGUGUGUGUGUGUGUGUGUGUGAGGCUGUUCUACAUAAGGCCACAGGUUCUGCUUGUUUAUCCUGGCCCUGCAGCAUACAGUACAUCAGCCCUUCUCUGCAGCCCCCCUCCGUCUUCAGGUAGGCUCAUCAUGGAGCCUCCAACUGGAACACAGUCAAAACUCCAAUCAACCAAAAAAA